AACGAACGCUGGCGGCAUGCCUAACACAUGCAAGUCGAACGAAGCCUUCGGGCUUAGUGGCGCACGGGUGCGUAACGCGUGGGAAUCUGCCCUUGGGUUCGGAAUAACAGUUAGAAAUGACUGCUAAUACCGGAUGAUGUCUUCGGACCAAAGAUUUAUCGCCCAAGGAUGAGCCCGCGUCGGAUUAGCUAGUUGGUGAGGUAAAGGCUCACCAAGGCGACGAUCCGUAGCUGGUCUGAGAGGAUGAUCAGCCACACUGGGACUGAGACACGGCCCAGACUCCUACGGGAGGCAGCAGUGGGGAAUAUUGGACAAUGGGCGAAAGCUUGAUCCAGCAAUGCCGCGUGAGUGAUGAAGGCCUUAGGGUUGUAAAGCUCUUUUACCCGGGAUGAUAAUGACAGUACCGGGAGAAUAAGCCCCGGCUAACUCCGUGCCAGCAGCCGCAGUAAUAC
rnacentral:rRNA from 1 species